rnacentral:rRNA from 1 species
GCUCACUGGUGAUUCAUGAUAACUCCUCUUGUCUCAAAGAUUAAGCCAUGCGGUCUAAGUGCACACGGGCCGGGACUGUGAAACUGCGAAUGGCUCAUUAAAUCAGUUAUGGUUCCUUUGAUCGCUCCACCCGUACUUGGAUAACUGUGGCAAUUCCAGAGCUAAUACAUGCAAACGAGCGCCGACCCGGCCCGCGAGGGCGGGGACGCGUGCAUUUAUCAGACCCAAAACCCAUCCGGGACGCGUCUCCGGGCGCGCCCCGGCCGCUUUGGUGACUCAGGAUAACCUCGAGCCGAUCGCGCGCCCCCGCGGCGGCGACGACUCAUUCGAAUGUCUGCCCUAUCAACUUUCGAUGGUACUUUAGGCGCCUACCAUGGUGACCACGGGUGACGGGGAAUCAGGGUUCGAUUCCGGAGAGGGAGCCUGAGAAACGGCUACCACAUCCAAGGAAGGCAGCAGGCGCGCAAAUUACCCAAUCCUGACUCGGGGAGGUAGUGACGAAAAAUAACAAUACAGGUCUCUUUCGAGGCCCUGUAAUUGGAAUGAGCGUAUCCUAAACCCAUGGGCGAGGACCCAUUGGAGGGCAAGUCUGGUGCCAGCAGCCGCGGUAAUUCCAGCUCCAAUAGCGUAUAUUAAAGUUGCUCAGUUAAAAAGCUCGUAGUUGGAUCUCGGGAGCGAGCUUGCGGUCCGCCGCGAGGCGAGCCACCGCACGUCCGUACCCCUGCCUCCCGGCGCCCCCCGGAUGCCCUUAACUGGGUGUCCGGUCCGGGGCCCGGAGCGUUUACUUUGAAAAAAUUAGAGUGUUCAAAGCAGGCCGCAGCCCGCCUGAAUAUCUCAGCUAGGAAUAAUGGAAUAGGACUCCGGUUCUAUUUUGUGGGUUUCCGGAACCCGGGGCCAUGAUUGAGAGGGACGGCCGGGGGCAUUCGUAUUGCGCCGCUAGAGGUGAAAUUCUUGGACCGGCGCAAGACGGACGAGAGUGAAAGCAUUUGCCAAGAAUGUUUUCAUUAAUCAGGCUCGACGGUGGAAUAUAUUAGCAUGG